CUGAUUAUGACAGGCGUGCAGCGGCACACAUUGACAUAGACCACUGUUGCAAUCAACGACACAGUCGCUAUCCAAGUAGCAUUAUAGAGCUGUCAUGCAACGCAACAACUGUGCUAUCUGCCAUCGCACAUCAACGAAGAAGUGCAGCCGCCCACAUUCCACCUCACGUCUGUCCGACCAGCUGCAAUCCUCGAGGACGCCCCACAGUACCACG